rnacentral:lncRNA from 1 species
GUGUGCAGCUAAAGAGUCAGUCUGAUUCAUGAGACCAGGCCUAACAGUCAUUAAACUUUCGAGUAGGUUUUGUGUACUCAUGCUCGAAAAAUCAACCAAUCAAAAUGUUGGAUUUCAUGUUUCGAGCAUGAGUUUCGUUCUCCAAGCACUGAGCAAAGUUUUAUGAAUCGACCCCAGAUGUUUUGUAAAUUGGUUAUUUUUC